rnacentral:rRNA from 1 species
UAAUUGAAGAGUUUGAUCAUGGCUCAGAUUGAACGCUGGCGGCAGGCCUAACACAUGCAAGUCGAGCGGUAACAGGGGAAGCUUGCUUCCCGCUGACGAGCGGCGGACGGGUGAGUAAUGUAUGGGGAUCUGCCCGAUAGAGGGGGAUAACCACUGGAAACGGUGGCUAAUACCGCAUAAUCUCU